CCCUGAAGCAAAGCCCACGCCCUCCUCACAAACAGCUUUGAAGAGAUCUAGAUUUCAGAUCCCAUGAUCUGUUAUGUCAGAGGAAGGCAUGCAGAAGACAUGCUCUGCACUCAGUCUCGCCAGGGCAAGAGUAGACCCGACCUCCUUGAAGAAUGAGACCUUGUUCCAUUCUCUUCCCUUGCCUGUAAUGCCUUGAAACAAGCGAGCGGUUCAUAGGAGCUUUGCAAGAUAUUACAGAAUUGCAGUGUGUAUUUGAAAUUCAAAUGCGCAUGGGAUUCGUGCAUUUUAUUGUCCUGUGGCUCAUGUCUCUUAAAUAAAGCAUUUCCCCUGUGUAGGCGCUCCCAGGGGCUCCACAUGAGGUCAGCGCUGGGGUGGCUUUGCCAGGGUCAGAAGGCUGUUCUUCCAGGAAGGGCUGCAGAGACCCUGGGAACAGGACCAGCCCAGCUCACAAGUAUGAAGAGAAUGUCGGAGAGGAAGUGGUGGCUGUGAGUCAGCAUGAGUCAUCUCGUUCCAAUGAGAACAGAGACUGAGGUGUGCGCCCUUUUUUUUUCUUUUUCUUUUUCUUCUUCUUUUUCCCUCUUUUUUCUUUCUUUUCUUUCUUUUUUUCCCUCUCUUAAUUUCUUUCUUUCUUUCCUUCCUUCUUUCUUUCUUUCUUUUUUCUUGGUCUCAGCCAUGUGGACGUGAUGGGGAAUGGAGGGAAGUCGUGACAGCAGGCUGCUCAGGCGGCGGACUGGCAUUCCAGGCAGGCUGUGGCUGAGCCAGCGUGCGCCUCAGUCCUCCGCAGCUCCGCCGGCGGGAAGGUGGAGCCAGCCGCUUCUCCCCGAAUAACUGGGAGAUGAAACAGGAAGCUCUAUGACACAGUUGAUCGAAAAUGACACAGACACAGAAAAAUCAGGACUCGGCCCCCUCCAGUGCCUCUACCUGCUGCCCACAGCCGGAGUGCAGAUGGCAAAGUAAGAAGCAGAAGGGGAAAGGACUUGGCUGCCAGCAGCUUCCCCAUCCUUUAUGGAUUGGAUCUGUAAAGGAGACUCUCAGGUGGGUACGAACAACACCUAUUGUC
rnacentral:lncRNA from 1 species